AGCAACAGAGCAUUAGAAGAUGUUCAAAUCUAGAAAGGACCCAGCAGGAGCCACCAACAUUCAGACACACCCCCUAUUACAAAGGUGGCAGAUUACCAUCGCUGAAGCAAUACCUGGAUUUUGUUUAAACGAGGAGGGCUCUUCCAACCUGGAUGAUUCUAUGACAAGGGCACAGAAGACUUGGAAACAGCAGAGGAAUCUCUUUUUCCUGCAGGACUUCUAGACAAAGACCUGCAUGGAAAAAUGCUGGGCAGCAGACUGCUUCUGAGAAGAGCAUUUCUGUAGAAACCACACAUAAUUACUGCUCAAGGAGAGGAUAUCAAAGAGGGUUCCUGUCAUCUUGUCCGGAACAAGCGAAGAUGGAAGUCAGCAGUCUGGAGUCCUACCAGGAGAGCUACUGAAGCGAGAGAUGGAGAAGGGGAAUCCAGUCUGUUC